CUCCCCCAGAAGUCGGGCUCCACCCACGACCCUGCUCCACUUCCUGUGGCGGACUCCGCGCAGUUCCAUCAUUCCCUGACAGGCCGCAGUAGCCAUCGCCACCCUGCUCCACUUCUUGUAGCAGAUUCCACACAGCUCCACUACCCCCUGGCAGGCCGCAAUAACGGCCACGAACCUGCUCCACCUCCUGCGACGGAUUCCACACGAUUCUCCCAUCUGCUG
rnacentral:lncRNA from 1 species